rnacentral:rRNA from 1 species
AAACUUGAGAGUUUGAUCCUGGCUCAGAACGAACGCUGGCGGCAGGCUUAACACAUGCAAGUCGAGCGCCCCGCAAGGGGAGCGGCAGACGGGUGAGUAACGCGUGGGAAUCUACCCAGCUCUACGGAAUAACCCAGGGAAACUUGGACUAAUACCGUAUACGUCCUCCGGGAGAAAGAUUUAUCGGAGUUGGAUGAGCCCGCGUUGGAUUAGCUAGUUGGUGGGGUAAUGGCCUACCAAGGCGACGAUCCAUAGCUGGUCUGAGAGGAUGAUCAGCCACAUUGGGACUGAGACACGGCCCAAACUCCUACGGGAGGCAGCAGUGGGGAAUAUUGGACAAUGGGCGAAAGCCUGAUCCAGCCAUGCCGCGUGAGUGAUGAAGGCCCUAGGGUUGUAAAGCU